UCCCAUCCACCAGUAUGUAAUUAACUCAUCCCCUUCCCAUUCUCUUCCUCCUUCCCCUUCCUCCCUGCCUUCCAUCACCACACCAUCCCCUGUCCCCUCACAUCUGCCUCCGUGACCCUUUUCUCUGCUUGUCUUUGUACUUUCCAUGCCUGCUCCUCCUCCUGCACCUCUUUGCCUUAUUAAAGUGUGAUCGCAGCCUCAAUUCCCCUCUGCCAUCAUGGCCUUUCCUGCUUGUACCCUGAGCUUACUUGGAGAAGACCCUAAGGGGAGAUACAAGAUUUGGAGAAGAUACUUCCUGCCUUCAUGGAAUUAAUAGUGUAGUACGGGGAGAUGACACAUGCAUAGGUGAUAUAAUGGAAAUGGUCACAUGAUCAGGUGCUAUCUCAUUUGAUCCCCA